rnacentral:rRNA from 1 species
UACGUAGGGUGCGAGCGUUAAUCGGAAUUACUGGGCGUAAAGCGUGCGCAGGCGGUUUGUUAAGACAGAUGUGAAAUCCCCGGGCUUAACCUGGGAACUGCAUUUGUGACUGGCAAGCUAGAGUAUGGCAGAGGGGGGUAGAAUUCCACGUGUAGCAGUGAAAUGCGUAGAGAUGUGGAGGAAUACCGAUGGCGAAGGCAGCCCCCUGGGCCAAUACUGACGCUCAUGCACGAAAGCGUGGGGAGCAAACAGGG